rnacentral:rRNA from 1 species
GUCCUGGCCGUAAACGUUGGGCACUAGGUGUUGGAGGCAUCGACCCCUCCAGUGCCGCAGCUAACGCAUUAAGUGCCCCGCCUGGGGAGUACGGCCGCAAGGUUGAAACUCAAAGGAAUUGACGGGGGCCCGCACAAGCGGUGGAGCAUGUGGUUUAAUUCGACGCAACGCGAAGAACCUUACCCAGACUUGACAUGCACGGGACCGGUGUUGAAAUACACCUUCCCUUCGGGGCUCGUGCACAGAUGCUGCAUGGCUGUCGU